rnacentral:rRNA from 1 species
GUAUGGUGCAAGCGUUAUCCGGAUUUACUGGGUGUAAAGGGAGCGUAGACGGAGAAGCAAGUCUGGAGUGAAAGCCCGGGGUUCAACCCCGGGACUGCUUUGGAAACUGUUUUUCUUGAGUGCCGGAGAGGUAAGCGGAAUUCCUAGUGUAGCGGUGAAAUGCGUAGAUAUUAGGAGGAACACCAGUGGCGAAGGCGGCUUACUGGACGGUAACUGACGUUGAGGCUCGAAAGCGUGGGGAGCAAACAGGAUUAGAUACCCUGGAAGUCCACGCCGUAAACGAUGAAUACUAGGUGUCGGGGAGCAAAGCUCUUCGGUGCCGCAGCAAACGCAGUAAGUAUUCCACCUGGGGAGUACGUUCGCAAGAAUG